CAUCCUGCUCACACACACACACACACACACACACACACACACACACACACACACACACACACACACACACACACACACACACACACCGUUUGACUUUUGAUUCUUGAACACAGUGAAAGUAGCAGGACCAGACAGUAUCAGUGGGCGGGACCUCAAACUGUGUGCUGACCUUUUUAGUCUGUAGAGGACUGAGCACUACUAAGGACAAGGACAGACUGCAGCGUAUCAUCCGCUCUGCUCAGAAGGUGAUUGGCUGCAAUCUACCGUCUCUCCAGGACCUGUACGCCUCCAGGACCCUGAGGCGGGCAGGAAAGAUUGUAGCCGAUCCCUCUCACCCGGGACACAAACAGUUUGAACCCCACCCUCUGGCAGGAGGCUGCGGCCCAUCAGGACCAAAACCUCAUGCCAUAAAUACAGUUUCUUCCCUUCUGCAGUCAGCCUCACCAACAAGGCAGCCACUGCCCUACCCGUGUGCGUGUAGCAACAGUGACCGAGUCAGACUCAGCUGUCUGAGGGGCGGGGCUCCAGCUGCAUGUGGGGGUGCACAGGAAGUUCUCUAACAGGAAGGUUUCCACCGUUUGGCACUGAAACAACCAAUCAGCAUGAUUCCCUCUCUGAUGUCAUCUGCAGCUUCAAACUGUCCUCUUCCACUAGUCCUCCACACACCACUGAAGAAGAGCUCAGCUGACAACAUGAGUAGAAGAUAAAGGAACUGUCCAAUCGCAUACAGUACACCAGGUGUUAUUGACUUUGUGCACGCUGAGAAAAGCUGAAAGCUAAAUCAGACUUACUUUCCCAUAAAGCCUGUCUGCUCACACGCUGGCCUUCUAUAUUGGUCCAGUGGGUUACACAAUGCUGAGAUGUGUGUGCAGGGAACGUGUGUGUGUGUAAACCAGAAGGCUUGUAUGCUGUGUGAUGGGGUGAAUCAGGUGUUUAGUGUCCCGAGAAAGCUGAUCACAUGUUGGAUCGUUGAACACCACAACAGCACCAGGCCAGAUCUGGGACGUCCCACAGCACAGAGGACAGAUAAGCUCAAUGUGUUGUCUCUGACGUGCAAAACAGAAGCUGCACAAACAACAUGAAACGCUUGUGACCACUCCCUGUUUGGCCCGCACAACUUCACUAAUGGAAAGCAACACACAGAAGACACACACACACUAGACAUUCUUCUCCUCUAUCCCCAUUUUAUACAGCAAGUCCUGCAAUAAACCAAACAUGUUCCACAAAACUAAAUGUUUUCCUGAAACAAAAAAGAAAGCUGUAUUGUGAACUUAAAUAACAAUGAAUAUCCCAAGUU